AGGAUUUGGUUAGGGUUUGGUUUAGGGUUUAGAGUUUGGUUAGGUUUUUAUUUAGGAUUUAUGCUUUGGUUUAGGAUUUGGUUAGGGUUUGAUUUAGGGAUUGAUUAGGAUUUAGUUUAAGAUUUAGGAUUUGAUUUAAGGUUUAUUUAGGAUUUGGUUUAAGGUUUAUUUAGGAUUUGAUUAGAAUUUGGUUUAGGAUUUGGUUAGAAUUUGGUUUAGAAUUUAGGGUUUGGUUUAGGAUUUGGUUUAGGGUUUAGGAUUUGAUUUAGAAUUUGGUUAGGAUUUGAUUUAGGAUUUAGGAUUUUAUUAGGAUUUUUUUAGUAUUUAAGAUUUAAUUAGUUUUGGCCUAAAGUUUGAAUGAAGCCCAAUAAGAUUUUAACUAGGAUUAAAUUAAGAUUGAAUGGAGAUAUAUUUAAAAUAUAUUUGUGAUCAUUCUAAUAUUUCUUUAAGAUUUCUUAUUAUUUUUUUG
rnacentral:lncRNA from 1 species